UACGAAGGGGGCUAGCGUUGUUCGGAAUUACUGGGCGUAAAGCGAGUGUAGGUGGUUGUCGUAGUCAGGUGUGAAAGCCUUGAGCUCAACUCAAGAAAUGCACUUGAUACUGGAUAACUAGAGGACCGGAGAGGAUAGUGGAAUUCCCAGUGUAGUGGUGAAAUACGUAGAGAUUGGGAAGAACACCAGUGGCGAAGGCGGCUAUCUGGACGGUUUCUGACACUAAGACUCGAAAGCGUGGGGAGCAAACAGG
rnacentral:rRNA from 1 species